CUAGCCCACCCCAUACAUCAAUAGAUGCGAGCGGUUUCGUCUGAACGCCGACUAGCGAGCGGUGAUUGGCGGCGUGCUGGACGGCGACGUGCUCGGCGGAGAAUUCUCAUCGGAUGAUUCCCUCGCUCCCCUGUCCAUCUCUCCCCCGUCCUCUCGUGCGACUCGGAGACCGACAGCAGCAGCGGUGAUGGAGCGUACAACGAUUUUGCGGCGGCGACCAAUCCCAAAUCCAUCCCACUGCUCAGUCGGAUAAGGCGCUUGCGACAACCAACAUUCACCGAACCAGAUUUUCCAUUUCCUCGACAGGCGGCUCCGGCACAGGAAUGAAAGUGCGCCCUAUGUUCAGAUUCCAGAAGCUAUGCCACGGCCGCCUACAAUUCCACCCAGGAUAGCUAAUUUGCAUGCAUGUUUGAUUUCUGAUCUCUUCCCAAUCUGUCCUGUUCAUUCAAUUUUAUACGGUCAUAGUUUAGCUAGGCUCCAUAUAUCCGUAGUUGCAAAACAAUUCUUGAGAUUUCCUUGGUAAAAUUUCUGGAAUAUUACAUAAUAUUGCGUGUGCCAUCAUAACCAUUUGUUUAUCCCCUAGUAUAAAAAUACCAAAGUGAGGUCUCUAUACAUACAUACGAGAAGCACCUCUUUAAUUGUAAUUUGCUGGUAGAAACAUCGACCCGUUAUUACUGGACAUGAAGUAGCUUUUACAAAUGCUAUAGGUAAUUGCGUGGAAAUUGAUCUGAGAAAUUGUUGUCGAGAUAGGUAAUUACAUACUUGAGAACAGUUGCUCUUUAAGAUUUCUUGAGCUUUAUUCCGGGUGCUCAAGUGAAGCAAUUGCUUCUCAUUGAAGGGUCUGUUUCUUUCUUGGACGGGUCAGGUUGUUCCUAUUUUCUCUUUUAUUCAGAUUGGAUUUGUAAAUCAGAAAGUGUGAUGCUCAACGAGAUUCAGGUCGCGCUAAGACAUCAACGAUCAGUGCCGACAAGCCUCCACUAUCUAUUGCAGAAAUGAAGAACCGUGUUGAUUGCUUAUCUUGAAUAUGAUUUUGGGCAAAUAGGACCUGACUAGCUUCUAAAUCUGCUGAACUGUACUGAUCAUAGUGUGAAACUAAUUUUGCUUUUGCUCUUCUAAAGGCCAUCUGACGUUGAUUCAUAAUUUGCCAGAGGAGAUGGCUCAGUUGGAAGUUAUGUUCAGUUUCUUGAUCCUUAUGCUAAUUCUCUGUCCAUUUGUAAGACAGCUGGUGAUGUUCAGAAUAAUAAGGGAAGUGCCUUGCACCUGAAUGUCAAAUGAAAAAGUAGAGCUGAAGGUGUAAAAAUAUGGAUUUUCACUUUCGACCUGCAGUAUUUGACGGUCUCUGUGUGGAGGGUUUCAGAACUUCCUCUAGGCGCAGACCUGAAUACUAGCAGUACACGCUUGCAGCUAGCAAAAAAUGCAAGAUGCAGGGUUGUGUUUUCUCUUUCCAAUGCAUGGUAUCUGUUCAGGUGGAUGACUGCUAAUUUAUGUGGGAUAGGAAUGUCUUCAUAUUUGUGGUGGGUACAAGUAAUAUUAAAUUGAAAUUUGAGGCCCUCUUUUCAUUACAACCAGUGGCAAAAUUUAGGUUUUGGUGAGAAGAAAGGUGAACCUAAUGGCUACAGCACUAUCAAGAAGAAUGUUUUAAUCGCUGGAGAAAUUGAGGAACAAAUGAAGUUGAUAGAAGAACGAGCAAUAAAUAUCUAUUAAACACAUAUAUAGAUUGCUUGGCUAUAAAGAUCGACAUAAAUUAGCAUGACUUGUUUUGGGCAUAGCUGAACGUACAAGCUUAAUACUACUGAAAUUCUAAAAUCGAUCAGAAGUAAUGUUUGGUUUUGUUCAUAGGUCGUCCCCUGUUUUGUCAUUCCAACUAACUGAAAGAGAUUGUAAUUGGGUCAACAAAUGGCAUACAUUUUUUUUAAGCUGACAAACCUAUUUUGUUGAAAAUCUGAACUUUGUAGUUCAGUAGCUAUUGUGUAGGUGUAUUUCAAUCUUAUGGCUUUUUUUGCUUGAGAUUCGUAUACUGUAUGAUGUUGAGUUUGUUCACAUUAACCUAUGUUCCUUUUUGCUGAGUUAUCCACUGAAAUAUGCUGAAUUUCUUCUUAUUUCCCCGUGUUUACUACCACAGUACCACUAUAUUUGAUAUGUUUUUAUUUAGUUCCAUUUAAUAUUGAUUCAGCUAUAUUAUGGGUGGCUUUGGCAUUUUCCCCUUACAAUCGUGUGUCUGACGAAUUAUGGGGUGUGCCUCUUUCACACUAAUGUUCAUUGCAAACUAAUCAUGAAAUUCAAUUACUUCAAGUCUUUACUUUCAACAUGAUCUACCUCCAAUUUUUUGCUUCUCUUGUUUCAUCACAAAGCAAUGAAGUUUAGUACUCCCUCUGUUCACUUUUAUAAGACGCUGUAGACAUUUCAGACAGUGCCUAAAACAGUUCAAUCUUAGCUGUCUGAAACGUCUUAUAAAAAUGAACGGAGGGAGUAGCAUAACUUCUAGUAGUGUUAAGAAAAUCCAUAUUGAAGGGACUUAAGAUACUUCUAUGUUUUAUUUUGAUGACACUCAGGUGUCAGACUAGUUAGACUUAGACAUUGUCGUAAAUAGUUGCUAGACACAGACUAGUUCAAUACGACGACUCCUACCAUUGAAGCUGGCACAGUUUGAUAAAAGACAUGGUUAGUGAGCAUUUAAACAAUAGUUACAGAAUUUGGCUUUUUGUCUUGUUUCUCACUAUACUUUUGAUUCACCUGCAGCUAGCAUGUUAUGGGUUCAUGUGAUUCUGAUGAAUUUGUAUCUGUUCAAGUGGAUGACGGUUAAUGUACAAGGGAUAGAGAGUCAUGUCUUCAUAUUUAUGGUCGGUAAGAGUAAUGUGCAAUUGAAAUUCAAACCUUCGUUACUAAUAACCAGUAGCAAGGUUCAGGUUUUGUGAGAAGAAAAGUGAACCAAAGGCGAUAGUACUAUUAAUAGGUUACUGUGUU